rnacentral:lncRNA from 1 species
GCGAGCCGGCUCGCGUUCGACUCGUGUUCGGCUCGAUAUUCGGCUCGCUCGAGCUCGACUCGAAAUUAAAUGAGCCGAGUUUGAACAAAAUAAAAGGCUCGAAAUUCAUUUCAAGCCGAGCUUGAGUAUUACUCGGCUCGUUCGAAUUAGGCUCGAAAAGCUCAAAUAUAUAUAUAUAUAUAUAUAUAUAUAGGCUGGGGCUACUAUACUCUUAUGAGUAUAGACCCCAUUGUACUCAUAAAUUUUUAACCAUUGAUUGAUGGGAUGUGUGGUUAGGAUGAUGGUGGUCCCCACUUAGAAUGAUAGUGGUCCCCUAGGGUUGAGUGGGUAGUUGGUUAAAUAGUAUGAUCUAACGGAUGAAAAUGAUUAAUGGAAUAAAU